GACGAACCGAGCGAACGUUGUUCGGAAUUACUGGGCGUAAAGGGCUCGUAGGUGGCCAACUAAGUCGGACGUGAAAUCCCUCGGCUUAACCGGGGAACUGCGUCCGAUACUGGUUGGCUUGAGUUUGGGAGAGGGAUGCGGAAUUCCAGGUGUAGCGGUGAAAUGCGUAGAUAUCUGGAGGAACACCGGUGGCGAAGGCGGCAUCCUGGACCAACACUGACACUGAGGAGCGAAAGCCAGGGGAGCAAACGGG
rnacentral:rRNA from 1 species